GGCGACCGGCGCACGGGUGCGGAACGCGUAUGGAACCUGCCCCUGUCAGGGGAAUAGCCCAGGGAAACUUGGAUUAAUGCCCCAUGGUACCGUUAUAUCGCAUGAUAUUACGGUUAAAGAUUUAUCGGACAGGGAUGGCCAUGCGUACCAUUAGUUAGUUGGUGAGGUAACGGCUCACCAAGGCAGCGAUGGUUAGGGGCCCUGAGAGGGGGAUCCCCCACACUGGUACUGAGACACGGACCAGACUCCUACGGGAGGCAGCAG
rnacentral:rRNA from 1 species